rnacentral:rRNA from 1 species
AGCGUUGUUCGGAAUUAUUGGGCGUAAAGGGUGCGUAGGCGGUUUGGUAAGUCUUUUGUGAAAUCUAUGGGCUCAACUCAUAGACUGCAAGGGAAACUGCCGGGCUUGAGUACGGGAGAGGUGAGUGGAAUUCCUGGUGUAGCGGUGAAAUGCGUAGAUAUCAGGAGGAACACCUGUGGCGAAAGCGGCUCACUGGACCAUAACUGACGCUGAUGCACGAAAGCUAGGGGAGCAAACAGGAUUAGAUACCCUGGUAGUCCUAGCCCUAAACGAUGACUGCUUGGUGUGGGGGGUACCCAAUCCCUCCGUGCCGUAGCUAACGCGUUAAGCAGUCCGCCUGGGGAGUACGGUCGCAAGGCUG